AACGGCCAUAUCAUGCUGAAUAUAUCGGUUCUCGUUCGAUCGACGAAGUCAAGUAUUAUGGGGCGUGGGCAGCACUUGAGUGGGUGAUCCCUUGGAAACACU